GAUGAACGCUGGCGGCGUGCCUAAUACAUGCAAGUCGAGCGAACGGACGAGAAGCUAGCUUCUCUGAUGUUAGCGGCGGACGGGUGAGUAACACGUGGAUAACCUACCUAUAAGACUGGGAUAACUUCGGGAAACCGGAGCUAAUACCGGAUAAUAUUUUGAACCGCAUGGUUCAAAAGUGAAAGACGGUCUUGCUGUCACUUAUAGAUGGAUCCGCGCUGCAUUAGCUAGUUGGUAAGGUAACGGCUUACCAAGGCAACGAUGCAUAGCCGACCUGAGAGGGUGAUCGGCCACACUGGAACUGAGACACGGUCCAGACUCCUACGGGAGGCAGCAGUAGGGAAUCUUCCGCAAUGGGCGAAAGCCUGACGGAGCAACGCCGCGUGAGUGAUGAAGGUCUUCGGAUCGUAAAACUCUGUUAUUAGGGAAGAACAUAUGUGUAAGUAACUGUGCACAUCUUGACGGUACCUAAUCAGAAAGCCACGGCUAACUACGUG
rnacentral:rRNA from 1 species